rnacentral:rRNA from 1 species
UACGGAGAGUGCAAACGUUGUUCGGAUUCACUGGGCGUAAAGGGCACGUAGGCGGCUCGGCAAAUCGGUCGUGGAAUCCCGACGCUUACCGUCGGAACGGCGGCCGAAAAUACCGGGCUCGAGGGCGUGAGGGGUCACUGGAACUCCUGGUGAAGCGGUGAAAUGCGUAGAUAUCAGGAGGAACGCUGGAGGCGAAAGCGGCAUCCUGGACCGACAUUGACGCUGAUGAGCGAAAGCUAGGGGAGCAAACGGG